AUCCUAUCUCUGGCAAUUUAUAAGCCAUUCAGAGCCCAUGGGAAUCAGCAACAAGUAAUCCAACUCCUAUGGAACCCUUUGGUCCUGGUGAACCGUGAAUUCCUUGCUCUCCCUGAAAAUAAUACGUUAUAGGUGAAAAAACUGGCAAAACCAGUAAACCUGACAUCUGCU